UUCUAUCUAAUUAACAAACGUCCUCUAUCUAAUUAACAAAGCUACUCUUACAUAGCUACAAAUAUGUGAAGUAUUAAUUGAUAAAUUCACAAAAUUAUUAUCAACAAAAAAAGAUAAGAUUAUAGAGAGAGAGAGAGUUCUUGUUGUCAGCAUACAAUUACAAUGGAUGUCCGCCAGACCAUUUCGAGUUCCGCCCCUACCAUGUGGGAUAAUACCUUCACUUCAUCCUCUGUGGACGUGAAUCAGCUACAAGAAAAGUAUGCCCAAGACAUUGAAGAACUAACGGAAGAAGCAAGAAGCAUGCUGAUAGCUAAAGGAAGUACAGCUGCUGAGACACUAAUAUUGAUCGACACGCUUGAGCGUUUGGGAGUGGCGUAUCACUUUGAGCAAGAGAUUGAAGAUCAACUUCAAGAAAUCUUCCAAUUUCACUCUAAGAAUGAAAAUCACUAUGACUUAUUCACUACUGCACUUCAAUUUCGUCUGCUCAGGCAACAUCGCUAUUUCGUUUCUAGCAGUGUUUUCGAUAAAUUUAAGAAUGAAGACAAUGAAUUCAAAGAAACCCUCAAAAGUGAUGUUAAGGGCCUGCUAAGUUUGUAUGAAGCUGCCCAGCUGAGGAUUCAUGGGGAAACAAUCUUGGAAGAGGCUGUGGCCUUUACAACCCAUCAUCUGAAGCUUAUGUUGCAACAAUUAGAAUGUCCACUUCAAGAUCAGGUGAAGAGAGCUCUGCAGCACUCACUCCAUAGAGGUGUUCCGAGAAUCCAAACCCGCCACUUCAUUUCCUUCUACGAAACAGAUGACUCAAACAACCAACUGCUUCUAAAACUAGCCAGACUUGAUUUCAAUUAUUUGCAGAAUUUGUACAAGAAAGAGUUCCAUGACCUCACCAGGUGGUGGAACGAAUUUGACUUGAAAUCGAAACUUCCAUACGCAAGAGACAGAUUGGUGGAGGCCUAUUUUUGGGGCAUAGCACUCCAUUUUAAACCUCAAGAUUCUUAUGCUCGAGUGGAUAUUGCUAAAAGCGUACAAAUGCUUACAACAAUAAAUGAUACAUACGAUAGUUAUGCUACACUUGAAGAUGCUCACCUCUUUACUGAAAUCCUAGAAAGGUGGGAUGUCAAUGAAAUAAAUCGACUACCAAAUUACAUGAAAAUUGUCUACAAGUUUCUUCUAAGUAUAUAUGACGACUACGAAGUUGAAGCAUCCAAGCAAGCAAAAUCAUAUGCAGUUUGUUAUGCCAAAGAAACAAUGAAACAACUUUGUAAGGCUUACGACAAGGUGCUGAAGUGGGCUAUGGGACAAGUACAGAUACCUACAUUUGAAGAGUACGUUGCUAACAUGAUGGUCACAAGUUGCGUCUAUGUGCUUCUCUCUCCCACCAUUUCGGCCGCGAAAUCUGCCCCGAAAGAGACCAUCGACUGGCUAAUGGGUGAACCUAAGAUUGUUGCAGCUGCUGCUAAGAUUGGCCGAUAUUUGAACGACUUGGGAAGUUAUGAACGUGAAAGCAAGGGAGGAAAUUUGCCAGUAGCAGUCCGUUGCUAUAUGAAACAAUAUGGCGUAUCAAAAGAAGAGGCUCUGGAUAAGUUUGUGGAACAAGUUGAAGAUGCGUGGAAAGAUUUGAAUACAGAAUGGAUAACUCAAACUUCCAUACUAGGCAGGGAUAUUGUGGCUGAGCAGCUUCUGACCUAUGCUCGUGCAGCAGAAAUAACUUAUGAGAAUUGCGAAGAUGGGAUUACAAAUCCUGAAAAGUAUACGGCUCUCUUUGUGGAUCCCAUACUCAUCUAAUAAUGUUAUGUUGCUUAUUGCAACCUCUGUCAAUUGCAUCAAAUAAGUACCUACCCAGCCACCAGCCAGCUGUUGCAUAGGGAAGCUCACAGCUACAAAGGCCGGUGGCCCAACCACAAGUUGCUCAAACCCACCGAAGGACGACAACCACUAAGGCUAACUCACGCCACCAAGGCACACAUAAGGCUAGCAACGAGUCAAGCUCG